CCCCAUUCCCCAUACUUUGCUUGACUUUUUUCUUUAUAGCCCUUAUUCCUACCUGACUUGAUAUAUUUACAACUGUGUUAUCAUAUCUCUCCAACGAAAUGUAAGGUUUGUGUAAAACCAUGUUCAGUCUGUACCAUACUCACACUUCCAUUUGUGAAGGCCAUGGCCUUUUAGCACUUACAGAGAAUGUGGGCACACAUAGAAGAAGGGGCUGAUCUCAGAGUGAUCUUCACUAAGCAAAGGAGAUGGACUAGACACUCAGGUCUCUCCUGGGUCUAUACAAGACCUUUCAUGUGACAUCAGAAUCUAGAGCAGCUGAGCUUGAAGGAGGUCUAAGGAAAAAGCAAGCAGAACGGAGGGAAGCUGAAGAGAGGAGUUGGGGGAUGGACUGAUGACCCUUCAACCCUUGUGGCCAGCCCUCCAGGCAGCUGUUUGAGGAGGAGAACAGGAAGGCAAAGGAGUUCCUGGAGGCAGAUUCCAAGCAACAUCAGCAAUCACAGCAUAAGCACCAGAGGGCGUUUUGGUUCCAGACCAGUGACUGUCUCAGCCAUCAGCACUCAGGCCUCAACGGAGGGGAUCCUGCUCUUUCACCUCUGCCUCUUAACUCCAGGCAUGGACUUAGGACGUUCCCAGAUUUCUCACCGCACAGCAGAAACCAGGCUGUAAUGUUUAAUAAGAUUUUAUUGACACUUCUUGGACUGUGGGAGAGAAGUGUAACACAAAUACUAGGACUUAUAACUAUUCAUAGACCUCAGAUCCAUUCUGAGAUUUCUCACUAUGCCAGUUUUCUGCCUGACCCCCAGCCUGCCUCCAAAUGGCCAGGGGCAGUUCAUCACCUCCACCACCAGGAUUUUCUAUGAGCCUUUCCACCUCAGAAUCAUGGCCAAACUUACUACUAGCACAGAACAGAGUGUUGGAAAAUUCUUCCCUUAUCUCAGUCUAAGAAGGGGGAAUUCUAUAGUACCCUCAUUUUAGGCCCCAAGACCCACCUUCAUCUAGAAUGUGUAACAGCAGACCAUUCUUAUUUUUCAGAGGAAACCCCAUUCAGACCCCGUGGGUGGUCUGAGAAGACAUUUAUAAAAUAAUUGAUAGUCUUUU
rnacentral:lncRNA from 1 species